UCACAGGUUUAUUCAACGUCCAAAAGUCAAGGUUAAAAUCACUCUAGAAUUAUGCAAAUUAGUUCCAAUUAUGCUUAAAUCAUCAAAGAAAAUCAAACUCCAAAUUUUUUUUUUCACAUAAAUCAUCAUUGGCAUCUCACCAGAAAUCUAAUGGAGCAAUAAUCAUCUAAAAAACAAUCACAAACACACACCACCAACCAAGCAGGAUAAAACAAUAAAGCCAACAAAAAUAAUAAAAGUGAUACACAUAUCUACUCUCACCCCCCUCCCCCAAACUUAUUACAGAACAUAAGUUCGAAAAUAAGUUUGGAGGGAUGAUGAUAUGUGUGUCACUACUCACAGAAAAAUAUGCUCCAUGGUGGUGGUAUGAACAAAGCGCGAGUUCCCUCAUCUUCCAAGCUCAACACUGCACUAAACUCCCAAAGAAAACAACGAAACAAAAAGAAACAAAAAGAAACUAAAAGAAAGAAAAACAAAACAAAGAAAAACAGUUGGGUUACCUCCCAACAAGUGCUUAAUUUAACGUCUAGAGCUCGACGAUACCUCAAAAACUCAUGGAGGUCGGAAACAGCACUCUAACCAUUGGAAAGCUUUUCUACUCUUGGGUGCCCUCUCCACCAAAACACUUCUCUUGGCUCGGACAUCCUCCACAAGCAUUGCCCCC
rnacentral:lncRNA from 1 species